UUAAGCGACUAAGCGUACACGGUGGAUGCCCUGGCAGUCAGAGGCGAUGAAGGACGUGCUAAUCUGCGAUAAGCGUCGGUGAGGUGAUAUGAACCGUUAUAACCGGCGAUUUCCGAAUGGGGAAACCCAGUGUGUUUCGACACACUAUCAUUAACUGAAUCCAUAGGUUAAUGAGGCGAACCGGGGGAACUGAAACAUCUAAGUACCCCGAGGAAAAGAAAUCAACCGAGAUUCCCCCAGUAGCGGCGAGCGAACGGGGAGGAGCCCAGAGCCUGAAUCAGUGUGUGUGUUAGUGGAAGCGUCUGGAAAGGCGUGCGAUACAGGGUGACAGCCCCGUACACAAAAAUGCACAUGCUGUGAGCUCGAUGAGUAGGGCGGGACACGUGGUAUCCUGUCUGAAUAUGGGGGGACCAUCCUCCAAGGCUAAAUACUCCUGACUGACCGAUAGUGAACCAGUACCGUGAGGGAAAGGCGAAAAGAACCCCGGCGAGGGGAGUGAAAAAGAACCUGAAACCGUGUACGUACAAGCAGUGGGAGCCUCUUAAUGGGGUGACUGCGUACCUUUUGUAUAAUGGGUCAGCGACUUAUAUUCUGUAGCAAGGUUAACCGAAUAGGGGAGCCGAAGGGAAACCGAGUCUUAACUGGGCGUUAAGUUGCAGGGUAUAGACCCGAAACCCGGUGAUCUAGCCAUGGGCAGGUUGAAGGUUGGGUAACACUAACUGGAGGACCGAACCGACUAAUGUUGAAAAAUUAGCGGAUGACUUGUGGCUGGGGGUGAAAGGCCAAUCAAACCGGGAGAUAGCUGGUUCUCCCCGAAAGCUAUUUAGGUAGCGCCUCGUGAAUUCAUCUCCGGGGGUAGAGCACUGUUUCGGCAAGGGGGUCAUCCCGACUUACCAACCCGAUGCAAACUGCGAAUACCGGAGAAUGUUAUCACGGGAGACACACGGCGGGUGCUAACGUCCGUCGUGAAGAGGGAAACAACCCAGACCGCCAGCUAAGGUCCCAAAGUCAUGGUUAAGUGGGAAACGAUGUGGGAAGGCCCAGACAGCCAGGAUGUUGGCUUAGAAGCAGCCAUCAUUUAAAGAAAGCGUAAUAGCUCACUGGUCGAGUCGGCCUGCGCGGAAGAUGUAACGGGGCUAAACCAUGCACCGAAGCUGCGGCAGCGACGCUUAUGCGUUGUUGGGUAGGGGAGCGUUCUGUAAGCCUGUGAAGGUGGCCUGUGAGGGUUGCUGGAGGUAUCAGAAGUGCGAAUGCUGACAUAAGUAACGAUAAAGCGGGUGAAAAGCCCGCUCGCCGGAAGACCAAGGGUUCCUGUCCAACGUUAAUCGGGGCAGGGUGAGUCGACCCCUAAGGCGAGGCCGAAAGGCGUAGUCGAUGGGAAACAGGUUAAUAUUCCUGUACUUGGUGUUACUGCGAAGGGGGGACGGAGAAGGCUAUGUUGGCCGGGCGACGGUUGUCCCGGUUUAAGCGUGUAGGCUGGUUUUCCAGGCAAAUCCGGAAAAUCAAGGCUGAGGCGUGAUGACGAGGCACUACGGUGCUGAAGCGACAAAUGCCCUGCUUCCAGGAAAAGCCUCUAAGCAUCAGGUAACAUCAAAUCGUACCCCAAACCGACACAGGUGGUCAGGUAGAGAAUACCAAGGCGCUUGAGAGAACUCGGGUGAAGGAACUAGGCAAAAUGGUGCCGUAACUUCGGGAGAAGGCACGCUGAUAUGUAGGUGAAGCGACUUGCUCGUGGAGCUGAAAUCAGUCGAAGAUACCAGCUGGCUGCAACUGUUUAUUAAAAACACAGCACUGUGCAAACACGAAAGUGGACGUAUACGGUGUGACGCCUGCCCGGUGCCGGAAGGUUAAUUGAUGGGGUUAGCGGUAACGCGAAGCUCUUGAUCGAAGCCCCGGUAAACGGCGGCCGUAACUAUAACGGUCCUAAGGUAGCGAAAUUCCUUGUCGGGUAAGUUCCGACCUGCACGAAUGGCGUAAUGAUGGCCAGGCUGUCUCCACCCGAGACUCAGUGAAAUUGAACUCGCUGUGAAGAUGCAGUGUACCCGCGGCAAGACGGAAAGACCCCGUGAACCUUUACUAUAGCUUGACACUGAACAUUGAGCCUUGAUGUGUAGGAUAGGUGGGAGGCUUUGAAGUGUGGACGCCAGUCUGCAUGGAGCCGACCUUGAAAUACCACCCUUUAAUGUUUGAUGUUCUAACGUUGGCCCGUAACCGGGGUUGCGGACAGUGUCUGGUGGGUAGUUUGACUGGGGCGGUCUCCUCCUAAAGAGUAACGGAGGAGCACGAAGGUUGGCUAAUCCUGGUCGGACAUCAGGAGGUUAGUGCAAUGGCAUAAGCCAGCUUGACUGCGAGCGUGACGGCGCGAGCAGGUGCGAAAGCAGGUCAUAGUGAUCCGGUGGUUCUGAAUGGAAGGGCCAUCGCUCAACGGAUAAAAGGUACUCCGGGGAUAACAGGCUGAUACCGCCCAAGAGUUCAUAUCGACGGCGGUGUUUGGCACCUCGAUGUCGGCUCAUCACAUCCUGGGGCUGAAGUAGGUCCCAAGGGUAUGGCUGUUCGCCAUUUAAAGUGGUACGCGAGCUGGGUUUAGAACGUCGUGAGACAGUUCGGUCCCUAUCUGCCGUGGGCGCUGGAGAACUGAGGGGGGCUGCUCCUAGUACGAGAGGACCGGAGUGGACGCAUCACUGGUGUUCGGGUUGUCAUGCCAAUGGCACUGCCCGGUAGCUAAAUGCGGAAGAGAUAAGUGCUGAAAGCAUCUAAGCACGAAACUUGCCCCGAGAUGAGUUCUCCCUGA
rnacentral:rRNA from 1 species